UGGGGAAUAUUGGACAAUGGGGGCAACCCUGAUCCAGCCAUGCCGCGUGAGUGACGAAGGCCUUAGGGUUGUAAAGCUCUUUCACCGGUGACGAUAGUGACGGUAGCCGGAGAAGAAGCCCCGGCUAACUCCGUGCCAGCAGCCGCGGUAAGACGGAGGGGGCUAGCGUUGUUCGGAAUCACUGGGCGUAAAGCGCGCGUAGGCGGCUGAUCAAGUUGGGCGUGAAAGCCCGGGGCUCAACCCCGGAAAUGCGCCCAAAACUGAUCGGCUAGAGACCGAGAGAGGGUGGUGGAAUUCCCAGUGUAGAGGUGAAAUUCGUAGAUAUUGGGAAGAACACCAGUGGCGAAGGCGGCCACCUGGCUCGGUUCUGACGCUGAGGCGCGAAAGCGUGGGGAGCAA
rnacentral:rRNA from 1 species